rnacentral:rRNA from 1 species
CCUACGGGAGGCAGCAGUGAGGAAUAUUGGUCAAUGGACGAGAGUCUGAACCAGCCAAGUAGCGUGAAGGAUGAAUGCCCUAUGGGUUGUAAACUUCUUUUAUAUGGGAAUAAAAUGUUCCACGUGUGGGAUUUUGUAUGUACCAUAUGAAUAAGGAUCGGCUAACUCCGUGCCAGCAGCCGCGGUAAUACGGAGGAUCCGAGCGUUAUCCGGAUUUAUUGGGUUUACAGGGAGCGUAGGUGGAUUGUUAAGUCAGUUGUGAAAGUUUGCGGCUCAACCGUAAAAUUGCAGUUGAAACUGGCAGUCUUGCGUACAGUAGAGGUGGGCGGAAUUCGUGGGGUAGCGGUGAAAUGCUUAGAUAUCACGAAGAACUCCGAUUGCGAAGGCAGUUCACUGGACUGCAACUGACACUGAGGCUCGAAAGUGUGGGUAUCAAACAGGAUUAGAUACCCGAGUAGUC